rnacentral:lncRNA from 1 species
GGUCUUGUCUCGGGAGCAGCUCGGGACAGAGAACGUUACUUGUUGCUAAAGUUACUGCAGCUUCACUUGUUGUGUGAGUUCCUUCACUCAGUGUUUGUGUCUGGUCCUUUGACCCCUGCAGGUCAGAGGCCGUUCACUGUGAAUGUGAGCAGGGAGAACCACCAGGCAGUGGAACACAGUAACACCACGCUGACAUGGCUCUUCCCUGUCAGUACCGACAUGUCUUCCGCCUCACUGCACAUACAUAUUCGGAGCGUGGACCCGCUAAGGACGGUUUUCCUCUAUGACAGUCCGCCUGAGGCUGAGCCAUAUCAAGAUGAAGACUACAGAGGCCGGGCCUGGUGUGAUCCAGAGCUCGCCAGGAAAGGACGGAUCGAGUGUCUCCUGACUGAUCUGAGGCUCAGCGACACAGGCUCCUAUCAGUGUAUUGUUGCCGUUAAUAGAGAUUCCAACCACAAGGCGUGUCACCUCAAUGUUACAGCUGCCAGCAGUCAAGCAGUGACUGAGCCCUCAAAGCCAGCGAGCCGAGGAAGGAUCGGACUCUAUGCAGGUUUUGGUUUGUUUACAGCAGUAAAAGCAGCACUUGUAGUUUACUUGACUUACAAACACUUUAUAAUGAGAAGUACUCUAACAAGGCAAACACCUGUGAAGUAAUGUGUUUUAUAUUUUGGUUAGGGAUGCACGAUAUGGAUUGUUUAUACUGACCAAAUAACCUAUAAUUUCACAUUUUUAUAUUUUGGAAAGAAAUGAACAAUAGCAGCCGCUUGAGCGUGAAAACAGCGCUCUUCUUCUCCUCGUCCUUCUUCUUCUUCUUCUUCUCCUCAUCCUUCUUCUUCUUCUUCUUCUCCUCGUCCUUCUUCUUCUUCUCUGUUAAUUGGCAGAUCACAAAAACAUUUCCAAUUAUUGCCUAUAUUUUCACAGAUAUUAUUAAUAGCUGAUACAUUUCACACUAUAAGGCCAAUAAUUCAUCAUGCAUCCCUAAUUUUGGUUUGUUAAAUACCUCAAGCAUAGAAGAGUGAAUUGGAUUUGUCAUCCUGGUGCUAUUGUUAUACCUCAGUCAGUCUACUCAGUAGAAGUGAGACCACAACAGUUGGUCUGUGUUUUCAUUUAAGCCAUCCUUUUUCUUUUCAUGUUAAUUAUUAACAGAUUAUUUGCAGUCACAGAUUUCGAUGGUGUGAAUUUCAGGUGUGGAGCGGAAGUGAAAAGUAGAACGGAAAGAAAAAAGCUACAGUUCUUAUGUGUUGUUGUUCAUUUACAACAAAUAACUUUAACAUUACAAAGUAAGGAAACAGUUAGCUCCCGAAUGUUUGAGACAUUGAAGACAAUGGAUGGUAAAAAUCCAGAGACAUCAGUCAGUAUUUCAAUAUAAAACAGCAUAUUUGAUCAACAUCAGUUUCUGUUAAACAACAGCUAAUAUUAGCAAUUCAACUGCCAACAUAAUCUGUCUUCUAACGGAAGCUAAUGUUUAUCAAAUAUGUUGUUGUACCUUGAAAUAUGGCCUGACGUCCCACUAGAUCUUCAGUCUCCAUCACCACAUCAGUUGCUGGUCAUUGCAAAGUGGUGAAAUGGAAAAUUGUUGUCAGAUUACCACAUUUAUACAAGUUGCAAACUAGAAAACAGCAACAUUACAUUAUUCCAGCAUUCAAGCAUCGCACCCUGAACCUGAUGUCAGGGUAAAAUGUGUGAAUAUGGUCUAAGUAAUUAUUUUAACAGGAGCCUUGUGUGUCACUACAUGUAUUACUCUGAAUCAUAAAUCACUUCCUGCCUUCCAUCUGCAGUUUGCGCCAUUAGCUACGGAAUGACGUGACAUCCUAUGCAAACAAAGUUUUUUGCCUCGCUACCUCACCAAGAUAUUAAUGUGAAACACUCCGUUUUACCUCUUCUUAUGCUGCUGUUGCUGCUAUGUGUAAUCUGUUUAUAAGGAAUACUUUAGACGUUCAAACGUGGAUAGUGAAGGGUAAAACAGAUGUGCAACACAGCUAAAAAGGUACAGUAACUACCUUUAUGUUUGACUUUCUGGCCGUCUGUAUCAUCAAAACUCAGCAGCACUGUCGAGACAGUAUUCCUGCCGAUCAAAGGUGAACACUGGUGUUUCAGAAGAUGCCAAAGUUGAACACAUUUUGAAUAUUUUGAAAUUACUUACUUGGAGAUGUGCCAGAGUGAUUUCAUUAUAAUUUCCUCAUUGGUCAUGUUAAGAAUUCUGAUGUGUCCAGGCCUCCAGUACCUCAGUCGAACCUGUUUUCUGUCCUUUCAGAAUGAGGCAUUUCCUCCCUUACCUCUCGCCAGACAUGUGACUCAAGUCAUUUGCUGCACUUUAAUGUAAAAGUUAUCAACACGUUGAGAUUGUCGACAGAGACCUUUUAACUGAUGUUAAACUAUCCUCAUGGAUCUCUGCCUCGACACCAAGUUCAAAUCAUGGAUGUAUUACGAAUCAAUUUUUCAUCUCAAUGUUACACUAAUAUUCUUCCGUGCUACCUCCCAGAGUAACGAUGCUUCGGUGAUUGAAGGUGAAUGAAUGAUCUUUGAUUCUUUUAUCCUCAUCUGUAUUUUUGUUUCUCAUUUGCUCUUUUGUAAGAUGAUGUUUCAUACUGUAUGUAGAGUGUGGUCUUUGGUUUCUAGUUAUUUCUUUGUAUCUUUCUAUCAAUCUUCUUAUGAUGUCAUACAUUGUAACUCCUGCAUAUGAAACACUUGAAUCAGCUGUACAACAGACUGAUUAAUCUGACUUCAAUAAACAGAUUACUAAAACAGAUGAACUUGUGAGUCAUUUGCGGACGACGCCAUGUUGAGAGGACAGGAAACAGUGAUCUGCAAUACA